AUUGAACGCUGGCGGCAGGCUUAACACAUGCAAGUCGAGCGGAGAUGAGGUGCUUGCACCUUAUCUUAGCGGCGGACGGGUGAGUAAUGCUUAGGAAUCUGCCUAUUAGUGGGGGACAACAUUCCGAAAGGAAUGCUAAUACCGCAUACGUCCUACGGGAGAAAGCAGGGGAUCUUCGGACCUUGCGCCAAUAGAUGAGCCUAAGUCGGAUUAGCUAGUUGGUGGGGUAAAGGCCUACCAAGGCGACGAUCUGUAGCGGGUCUGAGAGGAUGAUCCGCCACACUGGGACUGAGUCACGGCCCAGACUCCUACGGGAGGCAGCAGUGGGGAAUAUUGGACAAUGGGGGGAACCCUGAUCCAGCCAUGCCGCGUGUGUGAAGAAGGCCUUAUGGUUGUAAAGCACUUUAAGCGAGGAGGAGGCUACUGAGACUAAUACUCUUGGAUAGUGGACGUUACUCGCAGAAUAAGCACCGGCUAACUCUGUGCCAGCCGCCGCGGUAACAC
rnacentral:rRNA from 1 species